rnacentral:tRNA from 1 species
GCGGAAGUAGUUCAGUGGUAGAAACACCACCUUGCCAGGUGGGGGUCGCGAGUUCGAACCUCGUCUUCCGCUCCA